ensembl:lncRNA
AUCAUUUAUCUUUGGGUGAUUAUUGAUCGAGUCCAGGCCGCAUUUUUCACUACAUUGACUACUGAAUUGGUGGUUUUAUUGAGCUUGGAAUAAAAGCAGCUUUGAAGAGACGAGCACUGAUAUCGAGUCUCAAAGAGCAUCUGGAAUAUGGUUGGUGUUGCUCUGUAGCUACGUACCUUGAAGGUUCAUUCAUCUUCGGGAACGGCUUCAUGGUGGUCAGGGUGGCAGUGGAGCCGGAGCCUUUCCCAGUAACUCUGGGCUCGAGGCAGGAGAAUUCACCCCAGACGGGAUGUCAGUUCAUCACAGAACAACAUUGGGAGGAAACUGGUCGACCCGGCGGAAACCCACUCAAACACAGGGAGAAUGUACGAAACCCCACACAGACCCCAAGACCAUGGGGCGUUGAGGUGGCAACGUUACCCGCCUCCUAUCCAUGUACAGCUAUAGAUAAAAAGCACAAUUCACAAGAAAGUAACCGUGUCUAAUCUGCGACUCGACCUCGCAAUACUGCAACCAACAGUGUUUUAUUGCACUGCAGAAUACCUACCUCACAUUCGUACUCGGAA